AUGGAAGGAAAAAUGGAACUUGUAAUAGGAUGACCUUUACAACUCUAAUAGAAUCCUAAAAAAUAUUCAACUAGAUUAUAACAAUAUUAAUUAAACUUCAAUUAAAUCCAAAAGAAGUCUCAAGAACUUAUAAAAGAAAUAUAAAGAAAUCAUAAAUUAAUCUUAAAGAAAUAUAUAAUAAAGCAAUCUUAGUAAAAUAUCAAAAAUAAAAAUCUUAAUUGAAUCCUAAUAAAAUCCUAAUAUAAUCCUUAAUAAACUCUAAUAAAAUCUUAAACUAAUCCCAAUCAAACUUUAAUGAAAUUCUAAAUCCUAAACAAAUCCUAAUCAAAUCCUAGAAAAAUUUUAAAUCCUAAUCCUAUAAAAAUCUUAAAUCCUAAUUCUUAAUCAAACUAUAAUCAAAUCCUAAAUCCUAAUCUUAUAUCAAAU
rnacentral:lncRNA from 1 species